rnacentral:rRNA from 1 species
UACAGAGGUGGCAAGCGUUGUUCGGAAUUACUGGGCGUAAAGGGCGCGUAGGCGGUCCUGUAAGUCCCGCGUGAAAUCCCCCGGCUCAACUGGGGAACUGCGCGGGAAACUGUGGGGCUUGAGUUCGGGAGAGGGAAGCGGAAUUCCGGGUGUAGCGGUGAAAUUCGUAGAUAUUGGGAAGAACACCGGUGGCGAAGGCGGCUAUCUGGCCCGUAAUUGACGCUGAGGCGCGAAAGCGUGGGGAGCAAACAGG